CAGUUCUUUGAUCUUGAACCCUCAGAGGAGGGGCUGGGCCAGACGGGCAGGGGCCUGGGCCGGGGCUCGGGCUGCUGCCCUCCUGGCCUCGCCUGAUGGGACUGCCCCCCCGGGUGAGCCACCGCGCCCGGGGCCACACAGCCUGACUCGUACCAGGGGCCCGCGCGGGGAGGGUGCCCGGCCUUCCGCGGGGAAGAUGCUGCAGAUUCCUCGUGAACUAGAGACGUCACGGAUACUCCCAGCCGUACUGACGGUCAUGUCUGCCUUUAGACUUCUUUUUUGCAAUUUCUAAAUUUUCUUUUUUUUUAAAAAAGGAUGUAUUUAUUUAUUUUAGAGAGAGAGAGAGAGAGAGAAAGAGCAGGGGGAGAUGCAGAGGGAGAGGGAGAGGGAAUCUCCAAGCAGACCCCCUCACCCCCCGCCCGCUGAGUGCGGAGCCUGACGCGGGACUCGAUCUCACGACCCUGAGGUGAGGUCACGAGGAUGAAAUCCAACUCCCCGUGUCUGUGAACUCGCCGCCAACCCACAGCCCAGAGUCUCGGCACAUUUGGCCUCAGGCCUCGUGAGGGCAGUGGCACCCCCACCUUGCCUGUGGGUGCGGGCCUGGGUGGGCCCCCGUCCUGUACAGCCCUGUGUCUGCUGGGCUGGCCUCUGCGUGGUCAGGACAAAGGAUCUUGCUGGAAUGACAGAAAUCCAGCUCACAGAUUGAGAAUUCACUGUCACCGCCUGCUCCCCAGGCCCUGGCAGCCCGCCCCCGGCCCAGCUACUGGAGGGGGAGCCCCCCGGGGAGCAGGUGCAUUCUGCGUGCCCAGCCCUGGGACCCGGGUGCCUCGCGGUCCACACCCUCCCCCGGAAUCCUGCUUUGAAGGGUGUGAGCCCCCCGCCAGGAGCAGAUGGGGUCAAGGUGCUGGAAUCCAGGGCCUUGGCUGGAGGGAGAUGGGAGGCGGCCUGGUGGGAGCAGA